ACGAACGCUGGCGGCGUGCUUAACACAUGCAAGUCGAACGGAAAGGCCCUGCUUUUGUGGGGUGCUCGAGUGGCGAACGGGUGAGUAACACGUGAGUAACCUGCCCUUGACUUUGGGAUAACUUCAGGAAACUGGGGCUAAUACCGGAUAGGAGCUCCUGCUGCAUGGUGGGGGUUGGAAAGUUUCGGCGGUUGGGGAUGGACUCGCGGCUUAUCAGCUUGUUGGUGGGGUAGUGGCUUACCAAGGCUUUGACGGGUAGCCGGCCUGAGAGGGUGACCGGCCACAUUGGGACUGAGAUACGGCCCAGACUCCUACGGGAGGCAGCAGUGGGGAAGAUUGCACAAUGGGCGGAAGCCUGAUGCAGCAACGCCGCGUGCGGGAUGACGGCCUUCGGGUUGUAAACCGCUUUCGCCUGUGACGAAGCGUGAGUGACGGUAAUGGGUAAAGAAGCACCGGCUAACUACGUG
rnacentral:rRNA from 1 species